UGCGUAGGUGGCUAUUUAAGUCGGAUGUGAAAGCCCGGGGCUCAACCUCGGAAUUGCAUUCGAUACUGGGUGGCUAGAGUUCGGUAGAGGGCGGCGGAAUUUCCGGUGUAGCGGUGAAAUGCGUAGAUAUCGGAAGGAACAUCAAUGGCGAAGGCAGCCGCCUGGGCCUGGACUGACACUGAGGCACGAAAGCGUGGGUAGCAAACA
rnacentral:rRNA from 1 species